UUUCAGUUGAAAAACACAAAUCUUCCGCUGAACGCGUGUCAUGCUUGGAAGGCUGGAUUGGUUACCUAGGAAAGUGCUUCUAUUUCUCCGAAAGUACAAGAACCUGGACAGCAAGCCAGAACUUCUGUGCCUCUCAUGCAGCCACUCUUGCUGUCUUCAACACCACAAAAGAACUGGAUUUCCUGAAGCGAUAUUCUGACCACUCUCAAUAUUGGAUUGGACUGAGUCGAGAAGCAGGACAGAGCUGGAAGUGGAUAGAUGGAACCAUAUACAGUGGUUGGUUUCAAAUCAUUGGAAUUGGAGAAUGUGCCUAUCUACACAAAACGGGGAUCAGAGGCUCCAGUACCCGCUUGGUUAGAAAAUGGAUUUGUAGCAAAUCAGACCUAUGCAUACCCAGAAGUUAAGACAUCAUGGAUCUAAGAUAGUUUACGUAAAAUAGUGUAAAAGGAAUAAUUUUUAUUCCUCUUGAAGGAAACAUAUUAUAUUAAUAUGAAAGUACAUGAGAUUCAUGUUUAGAAAUUUCCAUUGGUGUUUUACUCCGCGUCUCUAAAUCCAUGUUUAUAAAUCUUCGAGAGUCUUAGGAUUCAAGAAAUACAUGCCCCAACGUCUGUUCCCAAAUCUCACAGAAUAAAACUUCUGAUACGUAAUACAUUAAAUACGAAUGAAAAACUUAAAUGACAUUUUACGGUAUUUACUCCUAUGGAUUCAGAGUAAUGUCAUUUAAAGUGGCUUGUUUUUCUAAGAACUGCAAUAUUUUUGCCCUGCCUCCUUACUUUUAUUAUCGAUACUAGUUGUUGAUGUUCUUUCAGUUCUGCAAUAUGUAUGAGAGUCACUCGUGAAUGUAGUGUUAUGGAAACACAAGCAUCG